UGACUUAGUGGCGGACGGGUGAGUAACACGUGAGCAACCUGCCUUUCAGAGGGGGAUAACGGCUGGAAACGGUCGCUAAUACCGCAUGAUGUGUUCGGAUGGCAUCAUCUGAACAUCAAAGAUUUAUCGCUGAAAGAUGGGCUCGCGUCUGAUUAGAUAGUUGGUGGGGUAACGGCCUACCAAGUCUACGAUCAGUAGCCGGACUGAGAGGUUGAACGGCCACAUUGGGACUGAGAUACGGCCCAGACUCCUACGGGAGGCAGCAGUGGGGAAUAUUGCACAAUGGGGGAAACCCUGAUGCAGCAACGCCGCGUGAAGGAUGACGGUUUUCGGAUUGUAAACUUCUUUUCUUAGUGACGAAGACAGUGACGGUAGCUAAGGAAUAAGCAUCGGCUAACUACGUGCCAGCAGCCGCGGUAAUACGUAGGAUGCAAGCGUUAUCCGGAUUUACUGGGUGUAAAGGGAGCGCAGGCGGGACUGCAAGUUGGAUGUGAAAUACCGUGGCUUAACCACGGAACUGCAUCCAAAACUGUAGUUCUUGAGUGAAGUAGAGGCAAGCGGAAUUCCGAGUGUAGCGGUGAAAUGCGUAGAUAUUCGGAGGAACACCAGUGGCGAAGGCGGC
rnacentral:rRNA from 1 species